rnacentral:misc_RNA from 1 species
CGGAGCUUCUGCUUCAACGGAACUGAGGGUUUUAGUAGGGUUUCGGGAAUCAGGGCUUUUGCGUUUCUUGGGUGGGGAGGAUUGUGACUGUGAUUUUUUUUUGGCGGCGGCGCGCGCAUUUGACAUGAGUGUGUCGAAAGCGGAUGGGCGAGAAGACAUUGUGGACUGAGGACUCAAUUUGACAAAGAGAUGAGGAGGAUUAGGAAGAAAGGAAGAUUUAGAGAAGGGAAAGCAGAAAAGGAGAGAAGAGAAAGAAUUGGAGCGAUGAGAAAAGGAAAUGAAUAGCAGAGAAGAGCAUGAACGGGGAGCGAGCAUCAAAAGGAGGGAAGAGAUGGAAGGAAGAGAAUUAGUCGAGAAAG